rnacentral:rRNA from 1 species
AACGAACGCUGGCGGCAUGCCUAACACAUGCAAGUCGAACGAGACCUUCGGGUCUAGUGGCGCACGGGUGCGUAACGCGUGGGAACCUGCCCUUAGGUUCGGAAUAACUCCCCGAAAGGGGUGCUAAUACCGGAUAAUGUCUUCGGACCAAAGAUUUAUCGCCUUUGGAUGGGCCCGCGUUGGAUUAGCUAGUUGGUAGGGUAAAAGCCUACCAAGGCGACGAUCCAUAGCUGGUCUGAGAGGAUGAUCAGCCACACUGGGACUGAGACACGGCCCAGACUCCUACGGGAGGGAGCAGUGGGGAAUAUUGGACAAGGGGCGAAAGCCUGAUCCAGCAAUGCCGCGUGAGUGAUGAAGGCCUUAGGGUUGUAAAGCUCUUUUACCCGGGAUGAUAAUGACAGUACCGGGAGAAUAAGCUCCGGCUAACUCCGUG